rnacentral:rRNA from 1 species
UGAGGAAGUAAAAGUCGUAACAAGGUUUCCGUAGGUGAACCUGCGGAAGGAUCAUUACAGAGUGCGAGGCUCAGUCGUGGCGUCUGCUGCGUGCUGGGCCGACCCUCCCACCCGUGUCGAUUUGUAUCUUGUUGCUUUGGCGGGCCGGGCUACGUCGUCGCUGUCCGCAGGGACACGCGUCGGCCGCCCACCGGUUUCGACUGGAGCGCGCCCGCCAAAGACCCAACCAAAACUCAUGUUGUCUGUGUCGUCUUAGCUUUAUAAUGAAAAUUGAUAAAACUUUCAACAACGGAUCUCUUGGCUCUGGCAUCGAUGAAGAACGCAGCGAAAUGCGAUAAGUAAUGUGAAUUGCAGAAUUUAGUGAAUCAUCGAAUCUUUGAACGCACAUUGCGCCCCUUGGUAUUCCGAGGGGCAUGCCUGUUCGAGCGUCAUAACACCCCCUCCAGCUGCCGUUGUGUGGCUGCGGUGUUGGGGCUCGUCGCGAAGCGGCGGCCCUUAAAGACAGUGGCGGUCCCGACGUGGGCUCUACGCGUAGUAACUUGCUUCUCGCGACAGAGUGACGCCUGGUGGCUUGCCAGAACAACCCCUAUUGGGUCCAGUCACAUGGAUCACAGGUUGACCUCGAAUCAGGUAGGAAUACCCGCUGAACUUAAGCAUAUCAAUAAGCGGAGGAAAAGAAACCAACCGGGAUUACCUCAGUAACGGCGAGUGAAGCGGUAACAGCUCAAAUUUGAAAUCUGGCUCCUCUGGAGUCCGAAUUGUAAUUUGUAGAAGAUGCUUUGGGUUGUGGGUUCGGCCUAAGUUCCUUGGAACAGGACGUCAUAGAGGGUGAGAAUCCCGUAUGUGGCCGAGGCCCGCGCCUAUGUAAAGCUCUUUCAACGAGUCGAGUUGUUUGGGAAUGCAGCUCAAAAUGGGUGGUAAAUUUCAUCUAAAGCUAAAUAUGGGCCAGAGACCGAUAGCGCACAAGUAGAGUGAUCGAAAGAUGAAAAGCACUUUGGAAAGAGAGUUAAACAGUACGUGAAAUUGUUGAAAGGGAAGCGCUUGCACCCAGACUUGGGCGCUGCCGAUCACCUUGAGGUCUCCUCGAGUGCACUCGACAGCGCACAGGCCAGCAUCGGUUCGGGUGGCUGGAUAAAGGCCGUAGGAACGUAGCUCUCUUCGGGGAGUGUUAUAGCCUACGGUGCCAUGCAGCCCAGCCGGACCGAGGACCGCGCCUUCGGGCUAGGAUGCUGGCGUAAUGGGUGUAAGCGACCCGUCUUGAAACACGGACCAAGGAGUCUAACAUCUAUGCGAGUGUUUGGGUGCUAAACCCAUACGCGGAAUGAAAGUGAACGUAGGUGAGAACCCCCUUUGGGGGCGCAUCAUCGACCGAUCCUGAUGUCUUCGGAUGGAUUUGAGUAAGAGCAUAGCUGUUGGGACCCGAAAGAUGGUGAACUAUGCCUGAAUAGGGUGAAGCCAGAGGAAACUCUGGUGGAGGCUCGCAGCGGUUCUGACGUGCAAAUCGAUCGUCAAAUUUGGGCAUAGGGGCGAAAGACUAAUCGAACCAUCUAGUAGCUGGUUCCUGCCGA